rnacentral:misc_RNA from 1 species
GUAUUGAUUGCGUGUGACCGCAAAAUAAAUAAAUAAAAAGAACAUUCUACACUGUAUCAAGUUUUGUGUGAAAACGUGAGCCCUCCUGCAAAGGGGACCCACGCGGUGAUGCACAAGGGGUGAAAUGGAUGUGUGAGAGUGCUCAGGCGUGCACGACCUUUUGAAAGGUCAGCGACAGCCCUCGCACCCCCGUUGUAUGAUAAUGAUCCUUCCGCAGGUUCACCUACGGAAA